CGUAUCUUGUCCCUUCUCCAUACCGAGGCCUCAUCCAGGUCUCCCCCAAUGAUUCCCACAGUGUCAUCUCUUUGGGGACCAGGUGGCCACGCAGGAAGCUCACAGCUUCAGUGGACAGCAGAGGGCUGGAGACAGAGCGCGCAAUGUCUGGGCCGCCACAGGUGUUGACAAUCUGGACACAGACCCCAUUCCCUUCCACAGACAAGCAUGGCCACACACAUCUGGGUGAACUGCACGUCUGGCCCUGCCGCUGCCCAUCAACUCCCUGCACCUGCUCUUGCCAACUAGUACCUGAGACUCCACGUCCAGCAGUCGCAGUGACUUGUCGUUCACCUGCAGCAGCACUUCCUGGGCCCAGACCUUUUCCUUGGAGCUCAGCUGCACCAGCUUCCGGAUGGCAUCAUCCACUGAGGCAAUAGCCUCGCUCUUGUCCAUGAUGAAUGUGGCCAGGUGCUAAGGGAAGGGUCAGAGAUAAGUGUAGUCCUCACCCUUCGACAAGGAAAGUUCUCUCUGCAACAAAAGAAGACCAUUACAGAAAAACCACAACCAAUCAAAACGCAGAGCUGUGGCACCCAGUCCCAUCGACAAAUCUACAAGACCAUGCCCACACCUAAAGCUCAGGGAACAUUGCAGAAGAGCGGAGAGAGAUUGUAAGAGCAGAGGAUGGGGCGUUUGCUGUGAGACUGUCUCCUAGUAACGUCAGAAGCUACA